rnacentral:ncRNA from 1 species
CGGUUCAAACACAAAGGAGAGUAUAAGGCAAUGUAUAUACACAUGGGCUAGGUAGCUCGGAAGGUUGAGACUCAUCAUAAGUGCCUUGGAAAAGGACGCCAGAGAAGGUGAAAGCCCUGUCUUAGGAUGAGUCGAGGCGAUACGAGAUAUUUCUAAGAGUCGGGUAGUUUGGGAAUGCUGCCCUAAUUGGGAGGUAAACUUCUCCUAAGGCUAAAUAUUUAUUGGAG